rnacentral:rRNA from 1 species
CAGUAACGGCGAGUGAAGCGGCAACAGCUCAAAUUUGAAAUCUGGCUCCUUCGGGGUCCGAGUUGUAAUUUGUAGAGAGUGCUUCGGGCGAGACCUCGGUCUAAGUCCAUUGGAACAUGGUGUCAUAGAGGGUGAGAAUCCCGUAUGCGACCGUGGCUCGAGCCCAUGUGAAGCCUCUUCGACGAGUCGAGUUGUUUGGGAAUGCAGCUCAAAACGGGUGGUAAAUUUCAUCUAAAGCUAAAUACUGGCUGGAGACCGAUAGCGCACAAGUAGAGUGAUCGAAAGAUGAAAAGCACUUUGGAAAGAGAGUCAAACAGUACGUGAAAUUGUUGAAAGGGAAGCGCUUGCAACCAGACCUGCCCGUAGGCGAUCAGCCGCUGUUCUCAGCGGUGCACUCGCUCUGCGAUCAGGCCAGCAUCGGUUUCGGCGGUCGGAUAAAGGCCUUGGGAAUGUAGCUUCCCUUCGGGGGAGUCUUAUAGCCCUCGGUGCAAUGCGGCCAGCCGGGACCGAGGACCGCGCUUCGGCUAGGAUGCUGGCGUAAUGGUUGUAAGCGACCCGUCUUGAAACACGGACCAAGGAGUCUAACAUCUAUGCGAGUGUUUGGGUGUUAAACCCAUACGCGGAAUGAAAGUGAACGGAGGUGAGAACCCUUAAGGGCGCAUCAUCGACCGAUCCAGAUGUCUUCGGAUGGAUUUGAGUAUGAGCAUAGCUGUUGGGACCCGAAAGAUGGUGAACUAUGCCUGAAUAGGGUGAAGCCAGAGGAAACUCUGGUGGAGGCUCGCAGCGGUUCUGACGUGCAAAUCGAUCGUCAAAUUUGGGUAUAGGGGCGAAAGACUAAUC